rnacentral:rRNA from 1 species
UGAAUACGAGAUGCUACGGCGUCGAAGCAGUCUAUGUCAUACUUCCAAGAAAAGCUUGCACUAUCAUAAACAAAUAAUGCCUGUACCAUAACCGACACAGGUGGGUAGGUAGAGUAUACUAAGGGGCGCGAGAUAACUCUCUCUAAGGAACUCGGCAAAAUGACUCCGUAACUUCGGGAGAAGGAGUGCCUUAUUUAUAAGGUUGCAAUAACAAGAUCCAAGCAACUGUUUACCAAAAACACAGGUCUCCGCUAAGUCGUAAGACGAUGUAUGGGGGCUGACGCCUGCCCAGUGCCAGAAGGUUAAAGAAGUUGGUUAGCAUCCGCGAAGCUGAUAACUGAAGCCCUGGUGAACGGCGGCCGUAACUAUAACGGUCCUAAGGUAGCGAAAUUCCUUGUCGGGUAAGUUCCGACCCGCACGAAAGGCGUAAUGAUUUGGAUACUGUCUCGGAGAGGGGCUCGGUGAAAUAGACUUGUCUGUGAAGAUGCGGACUACCUGCACCAGGACAGAAAGACCCUAUGAAGCUUUACUGUAACCUGAAAUUGAAAUUGGACUUUACUUGCGCAGUAUAGGUGGGAGGCGUUGAGAAUAUUCUUGCGGGAUUAUUGGAGCCAUCAGUGAGAUACCACUCUUGUAGUGUUAGAUUUCUAACUUUGUAUCAUUAUCUGGUCAAAGAACAGUUUCAGGCGGGCAGUUUGACUGGGGCGGUCGCCUCCUAAACGGUAACGGAGGCGCACAAAGGUUUCCUCUGAACGGGUAGAAAUCGUAUCUAGAGUGUAAAGGCAUAAGGAAGCUUGACUGUGAGACCUACAAGUCGAGCAGGGACGAAAGUCGGUCUUAGUGAUCUGACGGUGCUGAGUGGAAAGGCCGUCACUCAACGGAUAAAAGUUACUCUAAGGAUAACAGGCUGAUCUCCCCCAAGAGUUCACAUCGACGGGGAGGUUUGGCACCUCGAUGUCGGCUCAUCGCAUCCUGGGGCGGUAGUACGUCCCAAGGGUUGGGCUGUUCGCCCAUGAAAGCGGUACGCGAGCUGGGUUCAGAACGUCGUGAGACAGUUCGGUCCAUAUCCGGUGUAGGCGUUAGAAUAUUGAGAGGAGCCUUCUUUAGUACGAGAGGACCGAGAAGGACAUACCUCUGGUGUACCAGUUAUCGUGCCAACGGUAAACGCUGGGUAGCUAUGUGUGGAGUGGAUAACCGCUGAAAGCAUCUAAGUGGGAAGCCCACCUCAAGAUAAG